CAGUCGCCGCGGGAAUACGUAGGGUGCGAGCGUUAAUCGGAAUUACUGGGCGUAAAGCGUGCGCAGGCGGUUAUAUAAGUCAGAUGUGAAAUCCCCGGGCUCAACCUGGGAACUGCAUUUGAGACUGUAUGGCUAGAGUGUGUCAGAGGGGGGUAGAAUUCCACGUGUAGCAGCGAAAUGCGUAGAUAUGUGGAGGAAUACCGAUGGCGAAGGCAGCCCCCUGGGAUAACACUGACGCUCAUGCACGAAAGCGUGGGGAGCAAACAGGAUUAGAUACCCCUGUAGUCCCUGUCUCUUAUAC
rnacentral:rRNA from 1 species